rfam:Flavobacterium fryxellicola strain DSM 16209 FBFR13, whole genome shotgun sequence.
UUUUAGCCCCGAUGGAAGGGAAAAUCCUUUUUAUUUUUUAGUCCCAGCGUAGCAGGACUAAAAAAUAAAAAGAUUGGAAUGACAGCGGGACUAGCU